GACGUAGGGGGCGAGCGUUGUCCGGAGUUACUGGGCGUAAAGGGCGUGUAGGCGGCUUGGCGCGUUUCGGGUGCCAGCGGAGGGCUUACCUCUCCGAGUGCUCGGAAGACGGCUGGGCUCAGAGGGCUUCAGAGGGAGCAGGAAUUCCGGGUGGAGCGGUGAAAUGCGUAGAGAUCCGGAGGAACACCAAAGGCGAAGGCAAGCUCCUGGGAAGGCCCUGACGCUGAGGCGCGAAAGCCAGGGGA
rnacentral:rRNA from 1 species